GGACUACAAGGGUUUCUAAUCCUGUUUGCUCCCCACGCUUUCGUGCAACAGCGUCAGUUUUCAGCCAGAUAGCCGCCUUCGCCACCGAUGUUCCUCCUAAUAUCUACGAAUUUCACCUCUACACUAGGAAUUCCGCUAUCCCCUCUGAUACUCUAGCUAAGCAGUAUCAAGAGCAAUUCUGGGGUUGAGCCCCAGGCUUUCACUCCUGACUUACAAAGCCGCCUACGCACGCUUUACGCCCAAUAAUUCCGAGUAACGCUAGCUCCCUUCGUAUUACCGCGGCUGCUGGCAC
rnacentral:rRNA from 1 species